GGUGCCGUACCUCUGUGCUAGAGCAUCUGCUUUGCAUGCAGAAGAUUCCAGGUUCAAUCCUUGAUGACAUCU